CACGUAUACAACAUAUCGUAGAUUUUAGCAAGAUCCCUAAACAUUUUGUUUUUAUGCGAAGCCAACCGUUUCCUCUUUGCCCUCCUAUCCUAUGGUCUUUCUUAGGAGUGGCAAUGGAUCAGGUAUGGAUCGAAUCGAUCGAUGUCCGUAUCUAUUUUGUCAAUAAAAAAUUCAUAUCCAUACCUAUUUCAUAUCCAUCU
rnacentral:lncRNA from 1 species